UACGUAGGGUGCAAGCGUUGUCCGGAAUUAUUGGGCGUAAAGAGCUUGUAGGCGGUUUGUCGCGUCUGCUGUGAAAUUUCGGGGCUCAACCCCGAACUUGCAGUGGGUACGGGCAGACUAGAGUGUGGUAGGGGAGACUGGAAUUCCUGGUGUAGCGGUGAAAUGCGCAGAUAUCAGGAGGAACACCGAUGGCGAAGGCAGGUCUCUGGGCCACUACUGACGCUGGAGAAGCGAAAAGCAUGGGGAGCGAAACAGG
rnacentral:rRNA from 1 species